CUACGGGAGGCUCCAGUGGGGAAUAUUGGACAAUGGGGGAAACCCUGAUCCAGCAAUGCCGCGUGUGUGAAGAAGGCCUGCGGGUUGUAAAGCACUUUCGGUUGGGAGGACUGCUUCUAGCACUAAUAUUGUUGGAAGUUGACGUUACCUUCAGAAGAAGCACCGGCUAACUCCGUGCCAGCAGCCGCGGUAAUAGGGAGGGUGCAAGCGUUAAUCGGAAUUACUGGGCGUAAAGCGCGCGUAGGCGGCUAGAUCAGUCGGGUGUGAAAGCCCCGGGCUUAACCUGGGAACUGCAUCCGAUACUGUCUAGCUUGAGUACAGGAGAGGAGAGUGGAAUUCCACAUGUAGCGGUGAAAUGCGUAGAUAUGUGGAGGAACACCAAUGGCGAAGGCAGCUCUCUGGCCUGAUACUGACGCUGAGGUGCGAAAGCGUGGGGAGCAAACGGGAUUAGAUACCCCCGUAGUC
rnacentral:rRNA from 1 species